AAAAACCAAAACAUAAGCAAAUGAAACACAAUCUCCACAGGAAAUUUUGACAUAAUUACUGUGACUCAGCUUAUUAAUAUUAGCCAUAUUACAUAACUGUUGGUCUUGAUGCUUUCUUCUUGGCUUGUGACAAUGCUACUGGGCAUUAAUGGAGAUAAAAGAAUUUGUCAGGUACGAAGCUGAAAAUCCAGAUUUUCAGGUUUUUCAGUCACCCUUUCCACAUACAACGUAAGAAGGGUCUCCACUGGGCAGUCACCCACCGCGGUGCUCCUUAACACCGAAACAGGGCAGGGUGCAUCGGAAGAGGGUUUCAUCCCCUGCGAAUGGUCUCGUGGGGUAGCACCAGGAUUUAAUUAAAGGUGAAAUUGUGUUAUGAGCGAUGUAGUCUGGCUAAGGACUCUGACCACGGAAGUGGGGUCAGGAGGUGCAAAAAUUACUUAGAAACUUCAUGGCUUGAAGGUAGCUCAGGUGGACACAGGUCACAGUCAGGCUGAGCAAAAAUUAAAUGUUUCAGCUCAUUUCGACAAGACAGCUGUUCUUUGUGAGGGUUUGGGGUUUUUUUUAAUAAACACAACUGAAACAUUUUCUUUUUAUUUUAUACUUAUAUGGGGUGAUUUAAGCAAAAUUCAAAUGUACUUGUGGGAAAUUCCCUUUUGAUCUAAAUCAUAUUUUCUGAGACAAAAGUGCUGUGAUGAGAAAGUGAGAAAGUUCUGAACAACCCAUAUUUCAACAUUUCUUUUAGUUAUUCAUGACAAGCAAUGCUCUGCAUAUUAAAGUAUUUGAUUUCAUCUUGUUUCAUGAUGUAACUGAGUGAUCCCUGUAUGUUCACAUGCUUUUUAUUGCCAGUAACCAGUGCUGGCUGGGUACGAGGUGCAGGUGACAGACACCAUGAGAGCAAUGCCGGUUUAUAUGACUUUCCACUAGCUACAUAAACAAGUAGGAUGGCCACCAGUCAUCACUGUUGUACAGGGAAAUUCAGCCUAAACAUGAUCUGAAGCCCUGUAAAUACAGGAUACAAAUGCAGCUGCUUCCCAGGACGAUGCAUGAGUCAACUCCAGCCGAACAGAGUGAAAAUGCCAGAAAUAAAGGAGAGGAGCUACUUUGCAGAAUUUCCAGUGGUUUUACAGACUGAAUUUCAAAUUUGUAGAAAUCUGCCCUGGGAAGGGGCUGCUGGCGAAGCUGGGGGCUGGUCUGCUCAGCCGCUGUCGCAGGGAGCGGCCAAAGCUGGAACCGGUUCCCGAAGUGUUCAUGGUCUGGUGGCUCACCAGGACUUUGGUUCGAGACAUCAGAUUCUAAUCAAUGAAUUUUGGGAGACGUGCGCGCAGCUGCAUGGACCGUCUCGAACAGUGUCUGUCGGUCGGUGAGGAGCUGGUCCGUCUGCCCCGUCACGUCAGCGGUCCCAUGUGCUGGGGAGGAGGCACCGCUUGAUACAUUGUUUAUAGCCAGAAGAGGUACGGGAUGAAGCCAAGCCUGGGAAACCUCCCCCUUUGGAAGCAGGGAUGCGGAUUCUCAUGGAGCAGCAGUUGAUGGUCGGCAUACCCAGCAGCUCUGGCCGGCGGCUGGGUGAUGGCUGUGGGAAAGCUCUCGCCGUCCGGCGGCUGUCGGGUGUCUAAUGUGACAAGGGGACACCGCAGGGAAAAGUGGAAGAAAGACGGUGGAGUUAGUCCUGAAUCUGAAUUCAGGUUCACAGCCAUGUGCUUUGCAACUAGUAAAGAUUAAGAUCUUAAUUUUGGCAUUUCUUGUGCAUUCUGUGGCCAGAACACGGCCCCGUGUCUGCUCUGUGUAAGAGCCUUGGGAAUGCUGGUGUGCGGGGUGUGUAUUUUUAGGUCACUUCUUCCAGAAAGGUGGAUUCGUUUCGAUGGAACCAGCCGACCACUUCGGCACUCAGCCAUGUUGUGAUGGAGAAGAAGGACAGUUUCCACCUUACAUGAUCUUGCUGUCAGAGGUUGUGACCUUGCUCUCAUGUUUGUUACUGCUUGAUUUGUCUUCACUAACUUUCAGACUCUGACCCUGCCAAGAUCAUUAUCAGACCGUCUCUGGAUUUCAGUGGCCAAGCACUCAAAGCAGGGGCCCCCAGCAAGGGCUUCCUCUGCCUAACACAAAAUAAAGACCAACCUCUGCUGAACUAAUUCAUCCCACUUUAAUCCCUCUCUUCAGGAGGUCUCUUUGCCCUCCUGGAACCACCUGGUUCAUUAGAAAUUGGAUUUUGAAUGUAUUAGAAAUGUAGAGCUCAUAUUCCCACAGGCACGUGGGGACGAGGUGGAAUGAAUGUGUAUAUUGUGUCUUAAUAAUCUGGUCUUCUGGGGUUGUCAGACUUUUUGAAGGGGGUUUGAAACGGGGACCAGUUUAACCUCACACAAGGCAUUGCGUCCUCACUUUUACCUAACUGUACAACUCCAUAUAGAUUUCCUGACCUCAAAUAUAGUGCUAUACACUAAUCGGAUAUUAUUUAGAAAGUAUUUGGUAAGUAACAUCUGCCGCACUGAAAAUUAAAUUAAGGGUGUUAAAUAGAAGUUUAAAGAAAACAGGUUUUGGGAAAAAAAAUCUUUGAAGAUACCUGUUUUAGUUCAGAUUUCAAAUUUAAAUUUCCUUAGAGAUGUUGGCAGGAUUAAUUUUGCUUUUGUACAUGCAACAUAUUUGUUCAUCUAUGCCAUUAUACAGCUCCUUUCAAGUGGAAUAUUAUACUGGAAUACAGCAAAAGCCACAUUUAAGAUAUGAAACUGGAGGAGAACAUAUUUCAUACUGCAUAAAAUGCACCUCUGGAAUUUUCAGUUCUUCUUUUCUGCAGUAUUACAAAUGCCUUUAUAAAGUAUCAUGGCUCAUGAGCUAAAAAGAAAAAAAAAAAAAGAAAAAACCCUGUGGCUUUGGAUAUAUUCACUUCAAGUUUGUGGUUAAUAUUUCCCAGGCUGCUUAGAGGUGAGCGUAAGUUCAGUCGUCGCACUGCUGCUUCACCAGUCUCUGCCGGUGUUUCUAGAUGACUCUGAUAAAAGAUUGUGAAAAAUGGACCUGCGGUAAAUCGCAUCAUCCUUGUUAUGCAUUGUAAGAUGGGGACACAACUCAAGCUGGGUGUCUGGGUCACGCUCAGCCUUCCCUCGCACUCCUCCUCCAUCCCCGCAGCAGCCGCCGGUGCCGUUCAGCCGGCGCAGCCCACGGUGGGUGCAAACCCGCUGCGUUCUGCUGCGAAUUCGUUGCGUAACGCUGCGUUUCUAGCCGUGCUGUUUUCCUCCUUUGCACUAGAGAUUUUGCAUUAGCUAGCGGUCAUGGAGACACCAGAUUUCGCUUUGGUGGAAGAUAAAAAAAAGCUUAAAUAGGGACCGAGCCCAGAGGCUGCUCUGGGUGGACCUCGCGAGCCGCUGUGCACAGGACCCCCCUCAGCUACAAGUGUUCAAGUGGUGUGAGACCGGUCUGAACCGAGAAAUCCUAGAUCAGCCCUUCACUUUCCCACUGCCGGUACCCUGAACUGCGCAACCGCUCUUUAAACCCCUUUCUUUCCAAAAUACAAAGAGCUUUUUCCUUCUUAAUCACUGAGAGGUUUUACUUUAACCUCAUUAAACUCCAUUGCCAAAAUCCGAAGCAGAUUGAGAUGAAGCAGCUGAUAGGUGAGAACACGAGUUACAAACUGGUGCUGAAGAAAUGCUUGCAAUAAAACAGCCUCUCUAUAUGUGUCUUUAAACAAUGUAAAUCGCCGUGAGUUACAAUGGGAAGAAGUGGGGAGUCCCCAUUUGGCAGAGUUACGUUAGAAAUUAAACCAAGGCCGGUCUCUCUGGGUACAGCCAGGGCUGUUGGCUGCUGGCUCGUUCCAUGCGGUUGGGUGUUGUGAUGCUGGGAUAUAUUUGUGUGUUUUAUUUGUAUGUAAAUAUAAGAAAGCAGAAACAUAA